rnacentral:rRNA from 1 species
GACGAGGGGUCCUAGCGUUGUUCGGAAUCACUGGGCGUAAAGCGUAUGUAGGCGGCUUUCUAAGUCGGUUGUGAAAUCCCAUGGCUUAACCAUGGAAUUGCAUUCGAAACUGGAGAGCUUGAGUGUGGGAGAGAUUGGUAGAAUACCUGGUGUAGUGGUGAAAUACGUAGAUAUCAGGUGGAAUACCGGUGGCGAAGGCGGCAAUUGGCCCAACACGUCGAACGCUGAGAUACGAAAGCGUGGGGAA